rnacentral:rRNA from 1 species
UUAAUACCCCAUAAUAUAUAGAGUGGCAUCACUUUAUAUUGAAAACUGAGGUGGAUAAAGAUGGGCACGCGCAAGAUUAGAUAGUUGGUGAGGUAACGGCUCACCAAGGCGACGAUCAGUAGCUGGUCUGAGAGGAUGAUCAGCCACAUUGGGACUGAGACACGGCCCAAACUCCUACGGGAGGCAGCAGUGGGGAAUAUUGGACAAUGGGCGAAAGCCUGAUCCAGCAAUGCCGCGUGAGUGAUGAAGGCCUUAGGGUUGUAAAGCUCUUUUGUGCGGGAAGAUAAUGACGGUACCGCAAGAAUAAGCCCCGGCUAACUUCGUGCCAGCAGCCGCGGUAAUACG